rnacentral:rRNA from 1 species
UACGGAGGGGGCGAGCGUUAUUCGGAAUUAUUGGGCGUAAAGGGCGCGUAGGCGGCUAUACAAGUCAAAGGUGAAAUCCCUCGGCUCAACUGAGGAACUGCCUUUGAAACUGUACGGCUUGAGGCCGGGAGGGGGUAGCGGAAUUCCCAGUGUAGCGGUGAAAUGCGUAGAUACUGGGAGGAACACCAGUGGCGAAGGCGGCUACCUGGACCGGUUCUGACGCUGAGGCGCGAAAGCGUGGGUAGCAAACAGG